rnacentral:lncRNA from 1 species
UUUGUUUUGAGAUCGGAUUUUAAUGUAUGUGUCAUCAAAACAGUGUAACUGUUAUCAUUUCUUAACAUUUUAGGGCAGAAAAAGACAUGGUCUUUACAAACACUAGUCCCCAAGCUCACGCACGUGUUUUACUGGAUUGCUUCUUCCUCAGACAAGAUGUUCUCAGCAUAAACACCUAGGAAUCUCCUGCUUUUGCUGUCUCACUGCCUUCUGCAGGACUUGUGGAGAGCUAUAACAUCACCUGGGCCAUCUCCAAAGAGCAGCCUACUCCCUAUGUCACCUUCAUCUGGAAAGCCAGGCUCUGCAGAGACCCCGUCCAACUCACCGAGGAGCCGCUCGCAGCGGUCCCAACGCGGUUCCCGGCCACUCUUAACGUGGUCCCGGUGCCGCUUCCCGCCUCCAUGUCCGGCCCUGUGGGGACGAAGGGAGUGAGCGCCACAUACUGCGAGCCCGCAGCACGACCCGCUCCCCCUCUGUGUGUCCCCCCCCUCCGCGUGUCCCCCCCCUCCGCUUCCUCGAAUGGUCGGGCCCAACCCCAGCGGCCCUGGGGACCGGGAAGCACGGCGGACGCCACCACUGCGGGGACGGGGGAUGCGGGUCCUCACCUUAUCGUGGCUAAAUGAUAAGGCGUGCUACACGUUAAUGGCGCCUCCCCCUGCCCACCUUCACCGC